AUACGGAGGGUGCAAGCGUUACUCGGAAUCACUGGGCGUAAAGCGCGCGCAGGCGGGCUGAUAAGUUGGAUGUGAAAGCCUACGGCUCAACCGUAGAACUGCAUCCAAAACUGUCAGUCUAGAGUCUGGGAGGGGAAGAUGGAAUUAGUUGUGUAGGGGUAAAAUCCGUAGAGGUAACUAGGAAUACCAAAAGCGAAGGCGAUCUUCUGGAACAGUACUGACGCUGAGGCGCGAAAGCGUGGGGAGCAAACAGGAUUAGAAACCCUAGUAGUCC
rnacentral:rRNA from 1 species